rnacentral:tmRNA from 1 species
GGGGACGUUUUGGAUUUGACAGGAUGUUUGGUGAAAAUAGGUUGCGAGUCCGAGCGCUGUUCUCGGUUAUCAACGAGCAAAACAAAUUAAAUGCUAACGUUAUUGAAGCAGACUUCUCUAGAGCAUACGCUCAAGCAGCAUAGUCGGUGUAGCUCCUUAUAGGACCCAGCUUGCCGGUUUUAUAAGGCCCUUAUGCAAGACGCAGUACGUUGAUGCAAAGUAGGCGUAUCAAGAUAACUUUGUGGGGUUUAGAGUUUCCCUAAAAUAAAACCUAGGAUUAACUUGUCGGGUUUAGUUUUUUUCCUGAGUUAAUCGAGAGAAUAAGAAACUACACUCGUAGAUAUUUAUUUUGAUCCAUUUUGGACGUGGGUUCGACUCCCACCGUCUCCAUUU